UACAGAGACUGCGAGCGUUAUUCGGAUUCACUGGGCGUAAAGGGUGCGCAGGCGGCCGUGUGUGUUGGGCGUGAAAGCCCGGGGCUUAACCCCGGAAUUGCACCCAAAACUACACGGCUAGAGCAUUGGAGAGGGUAGCAGAAUUCCAGGUGUAGCGGUGAAAUGCGUAGAUAUCUGGAGGAAUACCGGUGGCGAAGGCGGCAUCCUGGACCGACAUUGACGCUGAUGAGCGAAAGCUAGGGGAGCAAACGGG
rnacentral:rRNA from 1 species